ACUGCCUGUCCGGGGACCCUGGGGCUGCUGUUCCUGUGGUAAUGUGGCAGCUGGGACCAUGGCCAGCUUCAGUCUGCCUGGCGUCACAUAAGCCAGCCCACAGGGUCCUGCAGCUUGUCCUUUCUGGCUGGAAGCUCUGGGCAUAGCCUGGGACUGGGUCUUUCCAGAGAGGGCUGUAGCCAGGGCCCUGCCAGCCUCGGGGGCCACAGCGGCUCUCACACCAGCAUCUUGCUGGAUAGGAGCAGUUCCAGGACUCUCUGAUCACACCUGAUCAUCGUCACUGCCAGAAUUCAAGGUAGCUGCCUGCCAUGGCUGAGAGGUGUGCCUCAGCUUAACCCACUCAGUGAUGGACUCCAGUGCCUGCAAGAAGUCUCACCAGAGUAAGAAGUGGAGGAUCCAGGCCCAGGAGAAUUUUGCCAAGAAGUUUCCGUACAGGUUGUCGUGGCUGACAGAGCCCGACCCUGAGCCCCUGCAGCCCUGGGAGGUCACAAACGACUCGAACACGGUGCAGCUGCCCCUGCAGAAGAGGUUGGUGCCAACGAGGUCCAUCCCAGUCCGAGGGGUUGGUGUGAGGAUUAAAAAGAGCAUGAAUGUCACUUCUAGGACUUUAUCCCAAAUGUACACUCACACAGGCAAGUGGGCCCCAUUUCACUGACCCAUGAGGAAAUACCAGCCCAGGGAAGGAGAGCAGAGAGAGCUGCUCAAGGCCAUGCGAUUGCUGCACACAGGACACCCGCACACGUCAUGUUGCAAGGCCUCCUCUGCCAAUCAAGAUACCGGGUGAAACACCACACUAGAAACCUACAGCAGAAGCACGACCAUCCUCCUCUGCACACCCACCUCAGCCAAAGCAGGGCUCGCGCCCUGUGCAGGGAUUGCCAAUUCCUGUUCUGCAGAGCCACCCACCUGCCAGCUUGCCUCUUCUCACGGUACUUUCUGGAGGUCCUCUGAACUCGGGACACUCCAGCAGUACCUGAAGAUGGACAGCAGCAUGGGGAGCAUCUACCAAUUUGGCUCCAGCAGCCACUUCCCCUCCCUUUGCCCACCCACCAGAGGAGGAUGCCUGCCAGGCCUUCAGCCCAUGUGAUUCCGAUAGGCUCCCCUACGCCUCCACCACCUGCUGGGAUAGGCAUGUGGCCUAGGCCUGUCCAAUCACAGCCUCCCAGCCCUUCCUGCCACCUGACUGGCUCAGAGACGGGCACUUGAGACCCAGACCGGGCCAAUGGAUGCCUCCUUGGGACUUUGGCUGGAAUCAGUGGCAAAGGAACCCUCUCUAGCUUUGGGUUGGAGUUGCUGAACUGGUGCAGCUGAGAGUGAGGCUAUGGCAGAGAAAAGCUAAACCACAGCUGGAGGUGUGAUCUGAACCCCAAGAUCUAUGCCUGUCCGAGGCAGAGGCACCUGGCCUUUUCAGUCACAGGCACAGACCCACUCCCUCCCAGCUGAAGGGAGUCUGAAUUGGGUUGGGUUUGUCCUCGCCGAGGCUACCACUGUGUGCCAUUGGGUGGCCCACAGUCUUAGCUUCCUUGCCUGCCUAGGGGUGAGCAGGGGCUGGGAUGGGAUGCAGAGGCCCACCUGGCUCCAAGAGGAACACCUGUGACUCCAAACACUGGGACAGAUGCUCAGCCCUGCAGCCGCGGGAGUGGAAUAGGGGAAGGGGGCUGGUGCCAACACUGCUCCCGCCGGUGUCUCAGAGGCAGAAGACAUAGAGCUGAGAUCUUGGGUUUUCAUAUUAAAAAUGUAAGCUCCUC